AAAAAGACAAACCUUGAAUUUACGUGUUCAACUUUGACUGUCCGUCUUAUAUGAAAUUUUUUUAUAAUUCGUAUUUUUAUUAUUGUUAGAUGAUAAAACAUGAUUAAUACUUUGUGCGUGACUUAUCUUUUUAAUUUUUUUAUAAUUUUUUUAAAUAAGACGGACAGUUAAACAUUGGGCACGGAAAUCAGGGUUGGUCUUUUU
rfam:Oryza sativa (indica cultivar-group) chromosome 7, whole genome shotgun sequence.